UACGUAGGGUGCGAGCGUUGUCCGGAAUUAUUGGGCGUAAAGAGCUCGUAGGCGGUUUGUCGCGUCGACUGUGAAAACCCGAGGCUUAACCUCGGGCCUGCAGUCGAUACGGGCAGACUAGAGUUCGGUAGGGGAGACGUGGAAUUCCUGGUGUAGCGGUGAAAUGCGCAGAUAUCAGGAGGAACACCGGUGGCGAAGGCGGGUCUCUGGGCUGACACUGACGCUCAUGCACGAAAGCGUGGGGAGAAACAGG
rnacentral:rRNA from 1 species